rnacentral:rRNA from 1 species
GGCCAGACUCCUACGGGAGGCAGCAGUGGGGGAUAUUGCACAAUGGGGGGAACCCUGAUGCAGCGACGCCGCGUGGGUGAAGGAGCGUUUCGGCGCGUAAAGCCCUAUCGGCAGGGAAGAAGGAGGACGGUACCUGACUAAGAAGCCCCGACUAACUACGUGCCAGCAGCCGCGGUAAUACGUAGGGGGCAAGCGUUAUCCGGAUUUACUGGGUGUAAAGGGGGCGCAGACGGCAGCGCAAGCCAGGAGUGAAAGCCCGGGGCCCAACCCCGGGACUGCUCUUGGAACUGCGCGGCUGGAAUGCAGGAGGGGCAGGCGGAAUUCCUGGUGUAGCGGUGAAAUGCGUAGAUAUCAGGAGGAACACCGGUGGCGAAGGCGGCCUGCUGGACUGCGACUGACGUUGAGGCCCGAAAGCGUGGGGAGCAAACAGGAUUAGAUACCCGCGUACC